rnacentral:lncRNA from 1 species
AAGUAUUGAAACCCUGAGCUCGAACUCGAUCCUGAACUGGGUCCUGGCUGAUAAGCCAUAAUUAAAACUUUAAAAGGCUUGGGUUUUUCUCUUUCUCGACAAAGAAAGGAUAAUUUCAAUCCAACUCGAAAAGAGAAGAUGAUUUUUUUAAGUUAAUCUAUGAUCGAUUCAAAUAAUUCUUUAGGUUCCUAUCAGAAGAAAAACCCACAUACAUAUGUAGUAGCUGAAAGAGAGAGAGAAAGGGAAUUACGGAAAUUGAUUAGAUUAAUUUGAAAUUCGAAAAAAAGAGCGAGCAAGUUAGGCAUGACUGAACAGGGAACGAACAGUUAACACCAAGGAUCGAGGCAAUAGACCUAAGGAUCAUUUUAAGAGAGAGAAAGGGUAGAGAGAAGGAACCCUAGAAUUGAGGUGGAAAAAGAGUAGCAGUUGGUCAAAAGGGGGAGGUGGGUGGUGCGAUCAACUGUUCAACAAGGUAUAUGCAAUGGUGGGGUUGCGGAAAAAAGUUGACGAAGUUCACUUCUCAGGGGCCGGGAUAUAUUAAUUGACAUACGUAGGAGAGAUAAUCUACAAGAUGAUGGGUAUUAACAAAAGAGAGGGAUUUUUGUUUUGUUUUUUGUUGAUUAUGAAUUUAUGAUGAUGAAGAAGGAGAUGAAUGAAAAGUUAAAAAAGAAGUUCGAAAAUGGCAAACAAAUUGUUUCGCUAGGAGAGGG